AGUCCCUUUUCCGUAUUCAAUUCACUCCUAAACUUGAUCAGCCAUGAACCUUGAUUCUUGGAAUAUUACGAAUCAUAUCAACAUUCAUCCUGAUCCUUAAACAAUUUCACUCAUACUCGUUCUCAACUGAAUCAUUUCAACAUGACUCCCUCAGAGUCUUUCACCUAUUAGGAUUCGGCCAUCCUACCUUGGGUUGGACUUAUUCCAAGUUUAGAAACAUGGGUCGAAGAUCUCUACUCUAAGUUGAGCCUAUAACCAUCUUUGGCCCAAACCCAAUAUUUUAGGUCCAUACAUUGCCCCUCGUUUCUGAAACUUUCUGCCAAAAACACCUGACUAGAAGGUCGUGAAAACUACUCAACCACCAACUUCACCAAUAUUUAAUGCACUUGAUUCUUGUAUCCAUGUCACUACCCUCGAUGCCACAAAACAGCCACGCGUCGAAUUCUUGUGGCAUGUAUCUGUCUUCUGUUGUUCCACGCGCCAUAGGCUUCAAGCACGUAAACCGUCAAGACGUCCAUCAUUGAUGGGCGUGCCUUGGAAAUCGGAGCACAUCAUCAUCAUGCGAACUAGGGUGAAGUAAUCGCCAAGAAAUCUAAAAUCAUGAUGAAUGGGGCUAGGUUUUCCCCCUUUUUGUCUAUAAAAAGCCCAAAGCUUUCUCAUUCCUCCCUUACACUCUUAAAACUCCCAGAAUCUCUGCUAUUUUGAAUUCAAGCUUUAAGUUUCUAGAGAAACCAGAAACCUUUCUUCUUUUCUCCAAACUCUCUGAAAGCUUUCUCCUCGUCGCCGUACUCGCCCCCGCGGUUCGGUUAGUAACCGUUACACUCGUCAUUGCCGGUGCCACAUGCUAGUCGACGAUGAAUAUAUAAAGGGAGACACGAAACCAUCGUCUUUGAUGUCAAACCUGACGGUGAUCGUCGCAGACCACAUUGACCGUUGCCGGACUCACUAGGAUCUACAAAAAAAUCCCUAGAGUUGCAGAGCUCAAUUUCACUCCCAAAUUUAAGGAAAAGAACUCCCAAAUUCGUUGUAAAACACCCCCAAUAAGUUUAGGGACUUACCUAAAACAAAUUUGGGUGGAAUAGGGGUCGAAUCCCUCUUGGAUUCACCGGAUUUCCCCUGAAGAGGCUCGCCAGAUUCUAGAAAAGUAAACACGGUGCAAGCAUGGUUAAAACAUGAGACCUUAAGGUCAAAACUUCACCAUUUCCUCCUUAAACCACAACGAAAACAAACCCAGAAGAAGAACAACCUCGAUGGCUUCAAACUCGACGGUUUUCACUGGAGUUAGUCGCUAGAGUUGAGAAUGCAUGCACAUAUAUUUACAGGGUUAAAACCCCUCGGAUUUGAGCUUAAAACCAACCAUAAUCUCACACUGAACCAGCACAAGAUCAAUAAACACAAAGAUUGAACCAUGAACUGUAAGUUAAUUGUGCAACAGAAAACUUAUUCACAGUUAUCAACUUAACCACUUUCCUGUGGAAGACAUAGUCUCAGUGAACUAGGAUUAAAAAUUGAAGUUCUUCUGCGACUCUACACAACUGAAAGCAAGGCUCGCUCAAUGGGACUUGAGUUUACUGUAAACUUGCGGGUUUCGACUCUACACAACUGAAAGCAAGACUCGCUCAAUGGGACUUGAGUUUACUGUAAACUUGCGGGUUUCGUGAGAGAGCAGGGACCUCAAUUUUAUACUUUUUACCAUGGAAUUCAUUAAGGAUCCCUCCCAUUAAGUGAUCCUUAUCAACGAGUAGCCUUAUCACCAUGAAACACUUAUGUAUUAUAUCAGUUAGAAGAGUUCUAGUUUUAUCGAGACUGUAUCUUGAAACUUUAAGUAAUACAACUUCUGAUAAGUCUAGCACAAGUGUCAAUCCUAAUCUCCUUUUCAUUCCAA
rnacentral:lncRNA from 1 species